rnacentral:rRNA from 1 species
AGUGAACGCUGGCGGUAGGCCUAACACAUGCAAGUCGAACGGCAGCACAGUAAGAGCUUGCUCUUACGGGUGGCGAGUGGCGGACGGGUGAGGAAUACAUCGGAAUCUACUUUUUCGUGGGGGAUAACGUAGGGAAACUUACGCUAAUACCGCAUACGACCUACGGGUGAAAGCAGGGGAUCUUCGGACCUUGCGCGAUUGAAUGAGCCUAUGUCGGAUUAGCUAGUUGGCGGGGUAAAGGCCCACCAAGGCGACGAUCCGUAGCUGGUCUGAGAGGAUGAUCAGCCACACUGGAACUGAGACACGGUCCAGACUCCUACGGGAGGCAGCAGUGGGGAAUAUUGGACAAUGGGCGCAAGCCUGAUCCAGCCAUACCGCGUGGGUGAAGAAGGCCUUCGGGUUGUAAAGCCCUUUUGUUGGGAAAGAAAAGCAGCAGGUUAAUACCCCGCUGUUCUGACGGUACCCAAAGAAUAAGCACCGACUAACUUCGUG